rfam:Colletotrichum incanum strain MAFF 238704 contig3260, whole genome shotgun sequence.
ACAUACGACCAUACCCACUGGAGAACUCGGGAUCCCGUCCGCUCUCCCAUAGAUAAGCCAGUGAGGGCCGGAUUAGUAGUUGGGUCGGUGACGACCAGCGAAUACCUGGUGUUGUAUGUC